ACCUCUCAGGUUGGUCAUCUAAUCUAUACCAACACCACUGACUACACCUCUCAGGUUGGUCAUCUAAUCUAUACCAACACCACUGACUACACCUCUCAGGUUGGUCAUCUAAUCUAUACCAACACCACUGACUACACCUCUCAGGUUGGUCAUCUAAUCUAUACCAACACCACUGACUGACUACACCUCUCAGGUUGGUCAUCUAAUCUAUACCAACACCACUGACUACACCUCUCAGGUUGGUCAUCUAAUCUAUACCAACACCACUGACUACACCUCUCAGGUUGGUCAUCUAAUCUAUACCAACACCACUGACUACAUCUCUCAGGUUGGUCAUCUAAUCUAUACCAACACCACUGACUACACCUCUCAGGUUGGUCAUCUAAUCUAUACCAACACCACUGACUACACCUCUCAGGUUGGUCAUCUAAUCUAUACCAACACCACUGACUACACCUCUCAGGUUGGUCAUCUAAUCUAUACCAACACCACUGACUACAUCUCUCAGGUUGGUCAUCUAAUCUAUACCAACACCACUGACUACAUCUCUCAGGUUGGUCAUCUAAUCUAUACCAACACCACUGACUACACCUCUCAGGUUGGUCAUCUAAUCUAUACCAACACCACUGACUACAUCUCUCAGGUUGGUCAUCUAAUCUAUACCAACACCACUGACUACACCUCUCAGGUUGGUCAUCUAAUCUAUACCAACACCACUGACUACACCUCUCAGGUUGGUCAUCUAAUCUAUACCAACACCACUGACUGACUACACCUCUCAGGUUGGUCAUCUAAUCUAUACCAACACCACUGACUACACCUCUCAGGUUGGUCAUCUAAUCUAUACCAACACCACUGACUACAUCUCUCAGGUUGGUCAUCUAAUCUAUACCAACACCACUGACUGACUACACCUCUCAGGUUGGUCAUCUAAUCUAUACCAACACCACUGACUACACCUCUCAGGUUGGUCAUCUAAUCUAUACCAACACCACUGACUACAUCUCUCAGGUUGGUCAUCUAAUCUAUACCAACACCACUGACUACACCUCUCAGGUUGGUCAUCUAAUCUAUACCAACACCACUGACUACACCUCUCAGGUUGGUCAUCUAAUCUAUACCAACACCACUGACUACAUCUCUCAGGUUGGUCAUCUAAUCUAUACCAACACCACUGACUGACUACACCUCUCAGGUUGGUCAUCUAAUCUAUACCAACACCACUGACUACACCUCUCAGGUUGGUCAUCUAAUCUAUACCAACACCACUGACUACACCUCUCAGGUUGGUCAUCUAAUCUAUACCAACACCACUGACUGACUACACCUCUCAGGUUGGUCAUCUAAUCUAUACCAACACCACUGACUACACCUCUCAGGUUGGUCAUCUAAUCUAUACCAACACCACUGACUACACCUCUCAGGUUGGUCAUCUAAUCUAUACCAACACCACUGACUGACUACACCUCUCAGGUUGGUCAUCUAAUCUAUACCAACACCACUGACUACACCUCUCAGGUUGGUCAUAUAAUCUAUACCAACACCACUGACUACAUCUCUCAGGUUGGUCAUCUAAUCUAUACCAACACCACUGACUACAUCUCUCAGGUUGGUCAUCUAAUCUAUACCAACACCACUGACUACACCUCUCAGGUUGGUCAUCUAAUCUAUACCAACACCACUGACUACAUCUCUCAGGUUGGUCAUCUAAUCUAUACCAACACCACUGACUGACUACACCUCUCAGGUUGGUCAUCUAAUCAGAACCAAGGACUAUAUACAGUUCCUAGAAAUAACUACUUUUAAUAAAGACUAACUAAACUGAACCACUGAGAGCAUAGUCAGUCUACCAUGGCCUUUGAAACCUUCUGGGUUAUGGUUAGAGAUAGGGGUUCCAGUGGUCUCAGAUGGUCAGUACCUUGUGGUUGAGGGAUGCUGGAGGAGGGCUAGGGUUAAAGGUCAGGGGUUAGAGUUAUGGUUUAGGUAUAUUGUGGGUGAGGGAUGCUGGCGGAGGGCUAGGGUUAAAGGUCAGGGGUUAGAGUUAUGGUUUAGGUAUAUUGUGGGUGAGGGAUGCUGGC